GUACUGGUGAUGUUUCAUUCAAAUUUCUGCCCUAUCAACUAGAUGGUAGUAUAUAGGACUACCAUGGUUGUAACGGGUAACGGAGGAUUAGGGUUUGAUUCCGGAGAAGGAGCAUGAGAAACGGCUACUAUUUCUAAGGAAAGCAGCAGGCGCGCAAAUUAUUCAAUGGAACAAUUUUCCGAAAUAGUGACAAAAAAUAUCAAUGCUGGACACUAUGUGUUUAGUAAUUGGAAUGAGUACAAUUUAAAUCCCUUAACAAGUAACAAUUAGAGGGCAAGUCUGGUGCCAGCAGCCGCGGUAAUUCCAGCUCUAAUAGCGUAUAUUAAUAUUGUUGCAGUUAAAAAGACUCGUAGUUGAAAUUUGGAACUUUAUUGUAUUGGUUAUCUUUUGAUGAACUGUAUAAUGGGUUCUUCCUACUAGAGUUCGAUUCUGUUCUUAAUUGAAUGGAGUAGCUAUCUUUCGGGUAGUCAGUUGGUUAUUAUGUCUCACUAAUGAGCAGAGA
rnacentral:rRNA from 1 species